GAAUUUGCCCAUUGGUCAGGCUUAACUGUCUGAACUGGUGUGACGAGUUCCUACCCUCUGAGGAAUCUUCAUGCCAUUCAGUUGGUGUGGGGGGAAAUCAGGACUGUUACUUUGAAAAAAUUAGAGUGUUUAAAGCAGGCGAAACAGCUUGAAUACAUUAGCAUGGAAUAAUAAAACAGGACUUUGGUUCUAUUUUGUUGGUUUCUAGGAUCGACGUAAUGAUUAAUAGGGAUAGUUG
rnacentral:rRNA from 1 species